AUCUUUUUAGUAUAUUAGUACAUUUGACUUCCAAUCAAAAAGUUAAAAAAUUAAAAAGAUA
rnacentral:tRNA from 1 species